rnacentral:rRNA from 1 species
CAGCCGCCGCGGUAACACGAAGGGUGCAAGCGUUACUCGGAAUUACUGGGCGCAAAGCGUGCGUAGGUGGUGGUUUAAGUCCGUUGUGAAAGCCCUGGGCUCAACCUGGGAAUUGCAGUGGAUACUGGGUCACUAGAGUGUGGUAGAGGAUAGUGGAAUUUCCGGUGUAGCAGUGAAAUGCGUAGAGAUCGGAAGGAACAUCUGUGGCGAAGGCGACUAUCUGGGCCAACACUGACACUGAGGCACGAAAGCGUGGGGAGCAAACAGGAUUAGAUACCCCGGUAGUCCCUGUCUCUUAUAA